rnacentral:rRNA from 1 species
UACGUAGGGUGCGAGCGUUAAUCGGAAUUACUGGGCGUAAAGCGUGCGCAGGCGGUUUGUUAAGUCCGCUGUGAAAUCCCCGAGCUCAACUUGGGAAUUGCAGUGGAUACUGGCAAGCUGGAGUAUGGUAGAGGAAGGUGGAAUUCCUGGUGUAGCGGUGAAAUGCGCAGAUAUCAGGAGGAACACCAAUGGCGAAGGCAGCACUCUGGGACGGUACUGACGCUGAGACGCGAAAGCGUGGGGAGCAAACAGG